rnacentral:rRNA from 1 species
CAGCCGCCACGGGAAUACGUAGGUGGCAAGCGUUGUCCGGAAUUAUUGGGCGUAAAGGGCUCGCAGGCGGUUUCUUAAGUCUGAUGUGAAAGCCCCCGGCUCAACCGGGGAGGGUCAUUGGAAACUGGGAAACUUGAGUGCAGAUGAGGAGAGUGGAAUUCCACGUGUAGCGGUGAAAUGCGUAGAGAUGUGGAGGAACACCAGUGGCGAAGGCGACUCUCUGGCCUGUAACUGACGCUGAGGAGCGAAAGCGUGGGGAGCGAACAGGAUUAGAUACCCCGGUAGUCCCUGUCUCUUAUAC